GAUGAACGCUGGCGGCGUGCCUAAUACAUGCAAGUCGAGCGAACAGACUAGGAGCUUGCUCCUCUGACGUUAGCGGCGGACGGGUGAGUAACACGUGGAUAACCUACCUAUAAGACUGGGAUAACUUCGGGAAACCGGAGCUAAUACCGGAUAAUAUAUUGAACCGCAUGGUUCAAUAGUGAAAGACGGUUUUGCUGUCACUUAUAGAUGGAUCCGCGCCGCAUUAGCUAGUUGGUAAGGUAACGGCUUACCAAGGCGACGAUGCGUAGCCGACCCGAGAGGGUGAUCGGCCACACUGGAACUGAGACACGGUCCAGACUCCUACGGGAGGCAGCAGUAGGGAAUCUUCCGCAAUGGGCGAAAGCCUGACGGAGCAACGCCGCGUGAGUGAUGAAGGUCUUCGGAUCGUAAAACUCUGUUAUUAGGGAAGAACAAAUGUGUAAGUAACUAUGCACGUCUUGACGGUACCUAAUCAGAAAGCCACGGCUAACUACGUG
rnacentral:rRNA from 1 species